rnacentral:misc_RNA from 1 species
GAAAUUCGAUAAUUAAUGUGAAUUGCAGAAUUCAGUGAAUCAUCGAGUCUUUGAACGCACAUUGCGCCCCCUGGUAUUCCGGGGGGCAUGCCUGUCCGAGCGUCAUUGCUGCCCUCAAGCACGGCUUGUGUGUUGGGCUUCCGUCCCUGGCAACGGGGACGGGCCCAAAAGGCAGUGGCGGCACCAUGUCUGGUCCUCGAGCGUAUGGGGCUUUGUCACCCGCUCCCGUAGGUCCAGCUGGCAGCUAGCCUCGCAACCAAUCUUUUUAACCAGGUUGACCUCGGCUCAGGUAGGUAUACCCGCUGAACUUACGC